rnacentral:rRNA from 1 species
UACGUAGGUGGCAAGCGUUAUCCGGAAUUAUUGGGCGUAAAGAGCGCGCAGGUGGUUGAUUAAGUCUGAUGUGAAAGCCCACGGCUUAACCGUGGAGGGUCAUUGGAAACUGGUCGACUUGAGUGCAGAAGAGGGAAGUGGAAUUCCAUGUGUAGCGGUGAAAUGCGUAGAGAUAUGGAGGAACACCAGUGGCGAAGGCGGCUUUCUGGCCAGUUACUGACGCUCAUGCGCGAAAGCUGGGGUAGCGAACCGGAUUAGAUA